UCUCCAGGGAGGCCUCAAGCACAUCCCUGGGCAGCCUACUCCAGUGUUCCACCAGCCUGGCUCUGAUGCCCACGUGAGGAACUGGUCCCAGAAAGCCUGCAGCUGAGCUUCCCUGCAGCUCUGCAGAGUUCUUAAGACCUAAGAGAAGACCUGAGGAACAUACCUGAGCCUUGUAGAGACUUCACCUUCUUCCUGAGCCACCCAUCCCACAUCUGCAAAGGAGGCCACUGCAUCUUCUCUAAGCUGGUUUGGAUGCUUCCCUUCUGUAGCAUGAGAAGUAAGCUAAAUUUUGAAGACAAGAUCGAAGGUUUCAGAGUCACUUUUCCCAGCCCAGGUCCCCUUUAUUUUACCCAAGAACUACAGGCAGCUAUGAACACAGGUGAACAGAACAUCUGUGGACUUCACACACUUAUUUCUGUCCUGGGGCUGGCCCAGAACCACAUCCCAGGCUUCAGACUACUCCCUCUAGCCUGAUGGGCUAACUGAAGAUGCUCUCCCGUGGCACCACUGGACACCAAGAAUCCAGAUUCUAUUCCUGCCCAGCAGCUAGGAGCCAUGAAGGGUCUGCUGCUCCUCCAACACCUCUCAUCCAGUUAUCAGCAGGCAAAUGAAGGCCUGAGGGCAGUUUGGUGGAAGCACUGCUGAUAAACAUGCACCCUCAGUACAGAAGCUGAAGAAUCUGUACUUGGAAAAAAGUCAUCCUCUGCUGUGCCUGGUUUGUAUUCUGCUGUUACAAACCCUCUGGGCAUCAGACUGGCUCCAUCUGGGCUGAACACCUCUGGAAGCAAGAGCAAAUCCUUUUCUGAGCAGAACGAGACCCAACUUCCCAAGUGCCGAGAGCACCUACCUGGAACUGAACUCUUGGGCACUGGAUGAGGGAGAGAUUCCUCAGACUGAUGGGAGGUUCUACCACAGUACUCCAGAGUAAGAACUGCCCUCCUAAAUUCUGUGAAGGAUUUCCCUGCUGUUAACACACUAAAGCAUGUCCACAUCUUAGAGGGAUUACUGCACUGAGGUCAGUACUUGUACUCAAAAUAGCUUCCUAGAGGUCCCAGUGACAAAGCAGUUGAUGUGAAGCAGAUCUCUAAGCAGCCAGAGACAACUCUCUGCACCCCUUCCUUCCAGGCACAUUCUUCAGUGAAGAGCAGAGAUGUGUGCUCUCCCAUCCUCUAACAUGUUCAGAGAGGUAAACAAUUCAGUGUAAUUUAGCACAGCUCUGAGUUUAAUGGGGCUUCUCCUAUCUCCAAGGCAGGAGCAAAGAAAUAAGAUCUGAGCAUUAACAUCACUUAAGAAUCAGUUGAAAGUUCUCUUUCAGCUUCAAGGCACACAGAAUUCAGCAGGAAAAGCAAUGCUCACAGAGCCAACAGUUUGGGUUUAAAGCCAGAAGAAGCUGCAUCGUGUUUUGAAUGUGUUCUACUCAACACUUCAGUGCCCAAGUAGCAAACUUCAUCCUUUUUCAGCAGCACAGAACCAGCCAAGUGCUGGCUACACUCACUCUGCUGCAGAAGGUAAGCACAAACUACAGCAUCCCAAGAGCUUGCCACAGCUGGAGCUCCUGCAGGCACAAAGCACAUUUCCCACACUUACUGAUUCCAUGUUUAAUCCAACUUGUUCCAAAGCCAUCCUAACGAAGCGCUUAAGCCAGCAAAUCAUCUGGAAUGGGAAAAGCCUCUCCACAGGUGGACUUAAGCCUUCCAACCCUAGAGGGCUCCAGAGGUUCCAUAGUACUUCUGAAAUGAGAAAGAAGACAAUCUUAGAUGCAUGUUGAGGAGCACACAAAGACCUGCUCCUUGGAGUCCUAAAAAGCAAACUUCAGAAAGAGUUCCUGGAAACAAGAUGUGCUGGGGGCCAGCAGCAACCUGUGCUGCAAAGCAGAGGCAGUCAGAAGACAUUUGCUGAUGACAGGUGACAAGGACUCCACAGCAGUGUCAUCUGGAAGAAGUCAAAGCUGCUGCAAAGUUAAUGAUUAAAAUGCUGGGGACACAAUUGCUGACUUCAGCUUGGACAGGUGAUGGGGUUCAACAGCUCUGAGUGAGCACCCGGCCCCACUGAACGCCUGCAGCUGGGGGCUAGUGUGAAGAUGAAAGCACUGUGCUCCUGUCCAAAGCUCCUGUCCAAAGCUCCUUCCAGAAUCCUGGCAUGGUGGGGGUGGGAAGGGAUUUCUGGAGGCUGCCCAGUCCAGCCCCACUGCUAAAGCAAAGCACCCACAGCAGCUUGCCCAGGAUCACAAAGGCCAAGUGGGUUUGGAAGCUCUGCAGAGAAGGAGACCUCUCUGGGCAGCCUGCUCCCAUUGGCCUUCUUGGCCACCAGGACACUUGGGUCCUUCUCUUUGGACAUGCUUUCCAGGAGCAAAACCAUGUGCAGGGGGCAAACACAGAAAGCUGAUCCUCUCUCUUCAUCCACAUCAUCUGACAGCUUUGUUUUCCCCUUCUUUUUCCUACAAGUGAGGGGAGAAAGGAAAUGUGGAAAAUGAGUAAAGCAAGAGCAGGACAGGAAAUAGCCCAGAUGUGGGACCUGAAAAUCCUCAUGUGAUUUACAAAGCUGGACAGGUUUCAGAUCCCAUCUAUUUAUAGGUACUACCAUCCAGUGAGAACAAGAUGUUGUUUGCUGCUCUCAAGAACACAGCCCAGCUUUAAUUGUGUUCUGCACCAUCACUUGGACAAGUGGGUACCACUAAAACUAAGGAAGCUAUAGACUGAGGUUUAUGUUUGGUUUGUGUAUCAAGCUGGAAACAACACUGCUGAAACACCCUGAGUGAUCUGCCUGCAGGAUGAAGCCACUCUGUGUAUUGUAUACAUAGAGGGAAGGAUGACUAAAGCCAGGGAGCAGCAAGGAACUGGUUACUGGGGAAAUCUGAAAGGCAGGAGAUGGAAAAGUGAUGCUGUUUGGAAGUGCCCACAAGCACUACAGUUAAACCAUCACUGUUUCCAUUACAGAGUUUACAGCUGCUUAGUAAUAACCUGCUGCUUCUGGAAACUUGGCAGGAGCUGUGCAUCUCUGCAGUUAUCUGUCCAAAAAGCUGCUCUUGGUUUCUCACCACCACGGAAAACAAAGGCACUUCUUACCAGGGUCAGAACAAACUAUCAGCUAAAGGAGGAGUUGUGAAAAUGCAAGAUAAAGUUAUUAAGUGACUCACCCACCAUGAGAUAAUGGAAGUGCAGUUGGUAGAAAUAAAAUGAGGAAGAGUAA